GUGGAAUCCAAAAGAGGCAAUAAGUUUGCCAAGAGAGGCAGUAUAAAGAGAAAAUAGAAGGGGACCAAGGACAGAAGUUUGGGGAACUCCAACCGAGACAGGACGAGGGGAGGAGGUAUCCUUGGAAAAGGAGACACUGAAUGAGCGUUGGGAGAGAUAACAGGAAACCACGAGAGGACAGAGUCACAGAGACCGAGCAAUUGAAGAGUUUGAAGGAGGAGAGCAUGAACAACAGUGUCAAAGGCAGCAGAGAGGUCAAGAAGAAAUCAUAUGGAGUAGUGGCCUUUGGAUUUAGCUGCAAUUAGGCCAUUAGUAACUUUGAAAAGAGCAGUCUCAGGAGAGUCGAGAGGGC